AUUGAUCGUCAAGCUUUUCAGCGAGUUUUAGAGUUGGACCCUCAGAAUGUUGAUGCUCUAGUAGCACUGGCAAUCAUGGACUUGCAAACAAAUGAAGCUGGUGGGAUUCAGAGGG